rnacentral:rRNA from 1 species
GACGAACGCUGGCGGCGUGCUUAACACAUGCAAGUCGAACGGAAAGGCCCUGCUUUUGUGGGGUGCUCGAGUGGCGAACGGGUGAGUAACACGUGAGUAACCUGCCCUUGACUUUGGGAUAACUUCAGGAAACUGGGGCUAAUACCGGAUAGGAGCUCCUGCUGCAUGGUGGGGGUUGGAAAGUUUCGGCGGUUGGGGAUGGACUCGCGGCUUAUCAGCUUGUUGGUGGGGUAGUGGCUUACCAAGGCUUUGACGGGUAGCCGGCCUGAGAGGGUGACCGGCCACAUUGGGACUGAGGUACGGCCCAGACUCCUACGGGAGGCAGCGGUGGAGAAUAUUGCACAAUGGGCGGAAGCCAGAUGCAGCAACGCCGCGUGCGGGAUGACGGCCUUCGGGUUGUAAACCGCUUUCGCCUGUGACGAAGCGUGAGUGACGGUAAUGGGUAAAGAAGCACCGGCUAACUACGUG